UACGAAGGGGGCUAGCGUUGCUCGGAAUCACUGGGCGUAAAGUGUGCGCAGGCGGUUGAGCAAGUCGAGUGUGAAAGCCCCGGGCUUAACUUGGGAAUUGCGCUCGAAACUACUUGACUGGAGUGUGGCAGAGGAAGGUGGAAUUCCACGUGUAGCGGUGAAAUGCGUAGAGAUGUGGAGGAACACCAAUGGCGAAGGCAGCCUUCUGGGCCAACACUGACGCUCAUGCACGAAAGCGUGGGGAGCAAACAGG
rnacentral:rRNA from 1 species